rnacentral:lncRNA from 1 species
GAGAUCAGGUGAAUUGGGCUGCUUUUGAAGGUUUGAGAACUGUGAUUUUCCCGUUCUGAUUUAAGAUGUAGACUGACAAAAUAAAGACUUCCUCCAAAUCACUGGUGUAGAGUUGCUGCCCUGGGAGCAAUGUUGUAGCAAUGGAGCAUUUCUUUUCCCACACAGCUGGAAUUGUUGCAGGGAGCAUUGAUUCUUCAGGUUUUUGCUUCACAGAACACUAAUACCAAUAAAGUUUAAAUAGGUAUGCA